GACGUAGGGGGCCAGCGUUGUUCGGAAUUAUUGGGCGUAAAGGGCUCGUAGGCGGUCUGUCACGUCAGGAGUGAAAACUCGGGGCUCAACCCCGAGCCUGCUUCUGAUACGGGCAGACUGGAGGUAUGCAGGGGAGAACGGAAUUCCUGGUGUAGCGGUGAAAUGCGCAGAUAUCGGGAAGAACACCCGUGGCGAAGGCGGCUCUCUGGGACGGUACUGACGCUGAGACGCGAAAGCGUGGGGAGCAAACGGG
rnacentral:rRNA from 1 species